rnacentral:ncRNA from 2 species
CUAUUUGGCGGCGACCAACAGGUCUUAAAUGGAUAGCAGCAGCAACUCUGGUGCUAAUACAUGCGAUUGUUUCUCCAGAUGUGAAUUAUGGAGGAAAAGUUGACCUCAUCAGAGGCACGCCAUUCGACUGAGUGACCUAUCAGCUUGUACUUAGGGUCUUUACCUAGGUAGGCUAUCACGGGUAACGGGCGGUUACCGUCGGACUGCCGGAGAAGGCGCCUGAGAGAUAGCGACUAUAUCCACGGGUAGCAGCAGGCGCGAAACUUUCCCACUCGAGACUUUCGGAGGAGGUAAUGACCAGUUCCAUUGGUGCCUUUUGGUACUGUGGAUAGGGGUACGGUUUUCCACCGUACCGAAACCUAGCAGAGGGCCAGUCUGGUGCCAGCAGCUGCGGUAAUUCCAGCUCUGCGAGUUUGCUCCCAUAUUGUUGCAGUUAAAACGCCCGUAGUCUGAAUUGGCCAGCAAUGGUCGUACGUAUUUUUACGUUCACUGUGAACAAAUCAGGACGCUUAGAGUAUGGCCACAUGAAUGACUCAGCGCAGUAUGAAGUCUUUGUUUUCUUCCGAAAACAAGCUCAAUGAGAGCCAUCGGGGGUAGAUCUAUCUCAUGACGAGUGGUGGAAUACUUUGACUCAUGAGAGAGAAGCUGAGGCGAAGGCGUCUACCUAGAGGGUUUCUGUCGAUCAAGGGCGAGAGUAGGAGUAUCCAACAGGAUUAGAGACCCUGGUAGUUCCUACCUUAAACGAUGCCGACAGGAGUUUGUCAUUUGUUAAUGGCAGAAUCUUUGGAGAAAAUCAUAGUUCUUGGGCUCUGGGGGAACUACGACC